GACAAUGACAGCUGGUCGAGCAUGAGACUUUUAAUCUCAGGGUUGUGGGUUUGAGCCCCACAUUGGGCAACG